rnacentral:antisense_RNA from 1 species
GAAUGGUAAGCAUUAUCCGCAUCCGCUACUCCUUUUAAAUACGGGAGAAAGGAUUCUCGAUUAUGGGAGAAGUAAAUGUAGACAACUUUUUUGCCUCCAGUAUUCAUCGGUGGUGUGGCAGCUUUUCCAUUGUUUGUUGAUUCAUCUAAACCCUCUGUAUUUUGUAGUGCGGCUUCCCUUUCUGCUUUUAAAACAUCAAUUGGUGGAGAAGAUUCGAUUGGCAUGUUUGUAUAGUUAGUACCUUCCCCGGCCAC